UGCGCUAAUAGAUGAGCCUAAGUCAGAUUAGCUAGUUGGUGGGGUAAAGGCCUACCAAGGCGACGAUCUGUAGCGGGUCUGAGAGGAUGAUCCGCCACACUGGGACUGAGACACGGCCCAGACUCCUACGGGAGGCAGCAGUGGGGAAUAUUGGACAAUGGGCGAAAGCCUGAUCCAGCCAUGCCGCGUGUGUGAAGAAGGCCUUUUGGUUGUAAAGCACUUUAAGCGAGGAGGAGGCUACUUAGAUUAAUACUCUAGGAUAGUGGACGUUACUCGCAGAAUAAGCACCGGCUAACUCUGUGCCAGCAGCCGCGGUAAUACAGAGGGUGCGAGCGUUAAUCGGAUUUACUGGGCGUAAAGCGUGCGUACGCGGCUUUUUAAGUCGGAUGUGAAAUCCCUGAGCUUAACUUAGAAUUGCAUUCGAUACUGGGAAGCUAGAGUAUGGGGAGAGGAUGGGUAAAAUUCCAGGUGGUAGCCGGUGGAAAUGCGGUAAAGAUUCUGGGAGGAAUACCGAUGGCCGAAGGCAGGCCAUCCUGGGCCUAAUACUGACGCUGAGGUACGAAAGCAUGGGGGAGCAAACAGGAUUAGAUACCCUGGUAGUCCAUGCCGUAAACGAUGUCUACUAGCCGU
rnacentral:rRNA from 1 species